rnacentral:lncRNA from 1 species
GCCAGUGCAAUUGACAAAUGAUUGGUAUUAGGCUGGCCUUAUCUCCACUGUAGCCAUCUCUAUUUAAAACCCCUCCACCCCUACUCUUGGCUUCAUUAAGCUCCUCCCUCCCUUCCUCCUCAUCUUCGGCAAUUGAUGAAUCUCUUAACCAAGCCCAGCCACCCAAAGACCCUCCCCCCUCUCUCUCUCUAAAUUCCAUCAUUCUUCUAUUUUGAUUCGGAUUUGUUCCUACCAAUCCCUUCGUCGCC